CCUACGGGCGGCAGCAGUGGGGAAUAUUGCACAAUGGGGGGAACCCUGAUGCAGCAAUGCCGCGUGGGUGAAGAAGAACUACGGUGCGUAAAGCCCUGUCAGCAGGGAAGAAAAUGACAGUACCUGGACAAGAAGCCACGGCUAACGACGUGCCAGCAGCCGCGGUAAUACGUAGGGGGCAAGCGUUAUCCGGAUCUACUGGGGGUAAAGGGAGCGGAGGCGGCGGGGGAAGGCAGCUGUGAACACCCGGGGCCCAACCCCGGGAGGGCAUUUGAAACUGCCAUGCUGGAGUGCCGGAGAGGUAAGCGGCAUUCCUAGUGUAGCGGUGAAAUGCGUAGAUAUUAGGAGGAACCCCAGUGGCGAAGGCGGCUUACUGGACCGUAACUGACGCUGAGGCUCG
rnacentral:rRNA from 1 species